UCCACGAUCAUUUGAUAUUUGGAUGAUUUGCAACAUGUCAAUCUUCCAUCAAUUGCAAGUUGCUGCUGCUUUUAGAUUUUUCUUGUGGAGAAGCAGUUCUUGCUUGAUCUCUUGAAAUGAUUUAGUAGGGAUUUUGCUUCUAGGUAAGUCUAUAAUCCUUGAACAUUUUAGUUUGAUGUGCAAGUCAAAGAUAUUUAAUAGGUUGGCUGGCUGAAUUAAUAAUCAUUUUUCAUCUACAUUGUUCAUUGCAUACUGUUUUCAAAUUUCGUCAUUCCUAUCUUUUUUAUUGUCGGACACCUGCAGCUGAAGGAAAUAAAAUUCAUUAUUGGUAGACUAGAACCAUGAUGGUACUACACAAUAUAAAGUUGCAGAAUAUAGAUCGCUUUAUGUCCUGGAGCUGCAAUCGUCCCUGGUCUGGCAAUGGCGGCGACGCUGCCCUGCUGGGCGAGGCCUAGUGUCGUUGUGUGUCUGUAGUUGAGGGCACCUCCUCACCUAGUUGUAGUCGCUUGGUGAGGACGGUCGUGUAUGUGUGCGCGCGCGUGUGUGUGUUCCUCCUUUCUGGAGGUUGUACCCCUGAUGUCUUCCUGUUCAAUGAAAUGAAACGCAAAUUCUCUUGCGUUUUUUUUAAAAGAUCGCUUUCUGUUGUGUAUGCACUCGACUGUAGUUGCAAGCCAGGACAUUUACUGAUUUAUAACUGCAGUUUGUCAAUAAAAUUAUACGUAAUGUUCAUUUGUUUGGGCACGAAAAGAUAUCCUCCUUUUCUUGUGUUGUAUGGUGAACAUUUGCAACUAGCCAAAUGGUGCAGCCAUGAUCUUGACUUGUUUUUAAAGAAUAUUAUAAUCACCACUGGUGUCAG
rnacentral:lncRNA from 1 species